UACGAAGGGGGCUAGCGUUGUUCGGAUUUACUGGGCGUAAAGCGCACGUAGGCGGACUCUUAAGUCGGUGGUGAAAUCCUGGAGCUCAACUCCAGAACUGCCUUCGAUACUGAGAGUCUUGAGUCCGGGAGAGGUGAGUGGAACUGCGAGUGUAGAGGUGAAAUUCGUAGAUAUUCGCAAGAACACCAGUGGCGAAGGCGGCUCACUGGCCCGGUACUGACGCUGAGGUGCGAAAGCGGUGGGGAGCAAACAGG
rnacentral:rRNA from 1 species